CUCUCCCUGUGUAACUAGGAAACGCCUUUCGUCCCCAGCCCUCUAACACACUCCUGGGUGGUAUUCUUUGGCACUCUGGAAGGACACCACUUUACUGACUAUCUGCUCAGCACUCUCCAACAUUUACUGUUUCUUUUUCUUGUCCCAAUGUGUCUCUAGCUUUCUCUUUCUCCCAUACCUUGUUGGCCAGUCUCAGAAGAGUAGGCAAUGAAAGGAAAGGUGCUCCAUGUUCUGCCUCCUUAUCAUUCCUUAACCCAUCCAUACACUGGCCUCUACUGCACCAGUCUCUGAAAUGUCUCCACUCCAAGGGUUGCAAUAGAAUUCCAACCAUUGGCUGUCUGCUCAUUCAUUCCACACCUCCAAGAAAUUAUUAAGCUUCUGUUCUGUUCAAGGAGCUGAAUCAGCAGGGCCAAGACCAAGAAAUUGUGCUGCCCACAUUCAGACUGGGUCUUCCCACCUCAUUGAAUACAAGAAAAAAUCCCUCAUGGAACUACACAGAGCUCAACCCAAUCCAGACAAUUCCUCAUGAAGACUCUUACCAGAACUUUAGAUGGCAUCAAGUUGAAAUUUAAAACCAACCAUCAUGGGACUGGAGAUUUGGCUCAGCAGUUAGAGCUCAAAACAGUUUUCCAGAGAACUUGAAUGUUGUCCCUAGCAUCCACGUGGUGGCUCACAACCAUCUGUAGCUCCAAUUCCCCGAGAUCUGAUAUCAUCUUCUGGCCUCUUGGGACACCAGACAUUCAAGUGGUACAUAGACAUAUAAGAAGGCAAAGCAAGCAUACACUUAAUAUAAAAAUUUUUAAAAACUAAC